rnacentral:misc_RNA from 1 species
CACUGUUCAGUGUUCUCAGUGUUCAGUGUGGUGUAUCACCAAGUCUUGUUCAAGUUCCAAGUCGCGUUUUCUUGACUGAAUAAAGUACUCAGUUCAAGUGCAUCGAACAAAGUUGUCAACGUUUGUUUAAUGUGUUCUGAUAAAAUGUCCGGACGUGAGUCGAGAGGGUUAGACGACCCGCCAAACAGUAGGCUGUUUAUACUGUGUCAGAAGGGUACCACUGAGCAAGAAUUCCGAGAUUCGUUUGACCAGUAUGGAACAAUUGAAGAUAUUUGGAUCAUCAAAGACAAAAGGACUAAUGAAGACAGAGGUAUUGCAUACAUCAAGUUCUCUAAAACAUCGGAAGCCAUGCAAGCUAUGGAAGAGAUGAAUGGAAAAGCUUUGCCAGGCUCAACGAAAGGACUAAAAGUAGUUGUGGCGAACAGCAAACGGGAUGGUUCUACCAGGGAUCCAAGAGAAGAUGAGAGGCUCGUCCGUCUGUUUGUCAUAAUUCCCAAGUCAUUUAACGAACAAAACCUACAAGAUGAGUUCUCGAAAUUUGGUGAUGUGGAAAAUGUGACUGUAUUAAAAGACCGCAGUUCUGGGGAAAACAAGGGGUUUGGAUAUGUUCGUUUCUUCAGGCCCAUCCAUGCUGCUCUUGCUUAUGAGAACUGUGACAGCUCUUAUAGACCCAAGUUUGCAGAACCACAGCGAUCGAGGGAUGAAAGAGACGAAAUUGAAAAUCACGGUUAUACAGGAGCCGGCCAAAAGAGAAUGUAUGAAGAAGACUUUGGUGGUUUUCAUGGAAAUUAUAACAUGGACUCCACUGGGUUUCAAGGAUUUAGACCUGGUUCCAAUUCUGGGGGGCCAGGCCCCAGAGAGAUGCUGGCUGAUUAUUCCACCACCUCCAGCACUUCUCGGCUAGUCAUCCAGGCCCCCAUUGGUCUCACUCAAGGAUAUCUAGUAAAACUGUUCAGUCUUAUUCCGGGCAUGGAAUACUGCGACCUGAAUGAAACGACAGGUAUUGCCUAUGCCCGUUACAGCAGCCCCCAAUGUGCUGCCUAUGCAAGAGACAAGCUGCACGGAUUUGAGUAUCCUCUUGGCAGUGCACUGCAUGUACAGCUGGCGGAGGACAGUGCCAGACAAGAGUAUCCCAUGAACGUAGAUAGUGGAUACGCUUCGGGAUAUGGAAAUUCCCAGUUUGGAAACUAUGGUCAGUCUUCAUUUGGACUGGACAGUAUGGAUGUUCGCCAGAAGGCUGCUAUGAUAUUAGAGAAAGCAGGAAUCAACCCCCAGAACUUGCUGAACUUGUCCUCUGCCAGUUCCUCUGGUUUGGGUUCUGUUGGAGAUGGUAGAAAAGAAAGGGUGCUCUACUGUAAUGUCUCCCUUCCACCACCGCAGCCCACUGUCCAAGAUGAUGGAAAAAAUCUGGCUCAAAGAUUGUUCAUUGUUUGUCAGCCCUCUGGAGUGUCCGAGCGUGUUCUGAAGGAUGCCUUCUGCAGAUUUGGAAACCUGAUCGACGUCUACUUGUUGUCAGGUCGCAACUAUGGCUAUGCAAAGUAUGCUUCAAAGGAGAGUGCAAUGAAAGCUAUCGACACCUUACACGGCCAGUCUUUGGGAGGACAGAAGAUCAAAGUGCUGGAGGCUGAGCCACCAAAAGCUCACCAAGGGCAUCAGGGACUUCAGGGGGACGAGGGCCCUUCAAAGAAACAAAGGCUGUGAACUGUUGAGAUGAAUGAGAAGAGGUUCUCCAACAACAGAUUGAACAAAGCACAGACUGUUGAUGUGGAAACCUUGCAUUUUCUACAUGGUCAGCAUGGACUCUGAUGUUGCUGUGCCUGGAGCAUACAAGGACAUAACUCUGGAAAAAGGCUUUGUCUUUCACUGUCCCUUUGCUCAGUUGGUGAACGCUGACCUUUACUGGAUUUUCACCAGCUGCCUCACCAUUCUGUGUGAUGUCUGUUCAACAGUAACAGAAACACAGAGUACCCACUGUCCAAGAGCACUGUGCAAAGCGAUGGAAUGUGCACAGACUUGACAUUGUGUUUAACAUAUGAGGAGACGUUUUUUUAGUUUAUUAAGGUUUUACGGCACUCGCAACUGCAUAAGGUCAUAUUUGGCCAAGGGGUGGAUGUCCACAAAGAAGUUCAAAUGGAAAAUCAGGCUUUCUCUGCUCACAUCUCUAGCCUCAACAGCACAGUCUGCUUCAACUAUCAAGGCCCCCAGAAAUAUCAGUUCACAAGGAGUGACAAACAUACAAAAGAA